UGAUGGCUUCGUAGUUAAAGCAAGAUUGUCAUAGCCAACGCCUAAUGCUGUAAGGCGUGACAGCAAGUCAAGCUGGGGUCAGCGGUCGCCGUCGCCGGUGAAGAAGCACGUGGACACCGUCACAGUGCGGCGAUGAAGCUGUUUAUGGCCCUCUUUUGGGGAAGCUGCUCCAAACAGUCCACAGUUUCUGAGAAUAUGUAGUUACAGAUUCUGAGAAAUGAACUAAGAAGCUAGAUUUCACAGCUUUUCCAGAUUCUCAGAAGCUGGCUACCAAACAGCUGUUUCUUAGAAUCUAAAGCUCCCCAAACAGAACCUAUAUACCUGAUGGUGGCUACACCGAGCUACGCCUCUUUGCAGCAGCUGCGAAGCCUACGAGCGUGCGAGUGAGCUUCCAACUCGAUCACUAGCUGCCGCUGGUCGCUGCCGGAAUAAACGCCAAAUUAAACAGCAGCGAGAUGGUCAUGGAGGCCGGCCUUGCCUGCUGUGCCAAGGCCAACCAUCGUCUGCAUCUGCAUCACAGCAAGGAGGCUACACUUGUGGCGUUUUUGCUGCUGCUGUCUUACGGAGUUGGCAGCGUCCAUUGCUCCACGACGGUGUGCAGAUCGUGGGAGGCACGCACCCCUGUAUGCUGGUGGGCUGGCGUUAGAUGCGGCCGGAAGAAGCGCCCUGGGCGAGUCGUGGAUCAGCUGGACCUACAGUACCUGUUCCUGUCCGGCACAAUCAGCCCCUUCCUUGGCAACCUCAUGUUUCUCGAGGAACUCGACCUUUCUUUAAGGGGGAUUUUACGGUACUUUCCACUACUGGUGGUACCAGUAUAGUAUAUUCAAAUCAAACCGUUGGUUUGUAAUGGGUAUUUUGAUCCUUUUUAAAUUAUUUUGGUAUUUUUAACAUAACAUAGAAAGGGGUAUCAAAAUUUCCUUUUUGCAACGCAUCGGGAGUUCGGGAUAAAGAAGAUAGAUUUGUCAUCUAAGAGCAUUUCCAACAGCAUGGCCAAAUCUCACUCUCCAAAUGCUCAUUUAGCUAGUUUGCCAAAAAGUUAGAGAGUUAAAUUUGUUUUUUACUCUAACAGCAUCUCUAUUUAUCUUCUCCAAUUUGACAGUGGGUCCCACACGUAUUCCCCUCUCUUCCUCUACAUGUUUCCUCUUCCCCAAUCCCCAUCAACCCAGCAGCUCUCACCCCUGCUGGUCGAGGUGAGGGGCGCAUGGACUAGGAGCCGGCGGCGGCUUCAUCAUCGGCGUGAUGUGCCCCUGUGCCGGGAACGGCAAGUACACGGUGUGCGGCGGCAUCUCGCUCAUUCUCUGCUAUUUUUGUUGCGUUUGGUUGGCUAGGGUGGAUAUGAUCAGAUUCCGAUCGAUUUGGAAUUGUUGGUCACUGCAAAAAUUGCGAAUGGAGAAUGGAAAGCUGCGGCACGGGGUGCUCGUGUUCAUCCUGCACGCCGUGCUGUAGCAGCUGCGGCGGCUGCUGCCCCAAGUGCUCCUCCUGCACGACGCCGUGCGUCGGCUGCCUGGCGUUGCUCUGGCAGUGCCUGAGCUGCCGUCGUCAUGCUGCAAGGGGCAGCUGUCGUGCUGCAAGUGCCAGUCGUCGUGCUGCGAGGGGGAGCCUUCCUGCUGCUGCUGCUGCUGCUGCAGCGGUGGCGGCAAGGGAUCGCCGGCGUACUGCUGCGGCAGGUCGUCGUGCCUCGGAGGCGCGACGCCGGCACCGUCGUCUGGCUCAGGAGGCUCGGCGGGCGCGACUGUCGACAGCGCGGAGGACGGCAAACGAUGCGAUGGAGGAGGCAGAGAGGAGAUGGGGAGGAGGAAUGUGUGGGACCCACGGUUGGCUAGUCACUUUUGGCUGGCCAAAUUUGGCUAGCGGAGGAAAGGUUUUGGCCAGCCAGAUGGCUUAGCCAUUCGGUUAGAGAGGUUGUUGGAGCACGUUUUUUUUCUAGAAUGGCUAAAAUUUAACUUGGAGAGUGGAAUAGAGAGGCUGUUGGAGAUGCUUUAACAAUUUCAACGGCCAGGUUCCUAGUCAUUUUGGUAUGCUUUCAAAUCUAUCCAAACUAGAUCUUGGGGAUAACAAUCCUGAAGCAAGUAACGAUGAAAGUUGAAAAUUCGGGCGGGCAUUCGGAAAUUGUACCAAUCUGAGAAUGCUCCGCCUAAAUCAUGAU